CACCACAGCCGCAGACUCUUCUUCCUCCCCUGCUCUGUUUCCUCUCCUUCUCUUCCAGCUGCAGCUGCCUCCCCUUCUCCUCUUCCUCUCUUCUUCCCUUUUCCUUUCUCUUAUUCUUCCUUUCCUUCUCUUCUUUCCAAGCUGCAUUGUUGCAGUCGCAGCCUCAGCCACGGCCGCAGCCUCUUCUUCCUCCCCUGCACAUCUUCCUCUCUUUCUUCUCUUCCAGCUGCAGCUGCCAUCGCCGCAGCCGCAGCCCCUUCUUCCCUCUAUUCUUCCUCUCCUUCCCUUCUUCCUUCCUCUUCCUCUUUCCCUGCCACAGCUGCAGCUGCCACAGCCGCAGCCGCAGCUGCUUCUUUCCCUUCUCCUCUUCCUUCUCCUUCCUUUCUUCUUCUUCUCUUCUUCCUCACCGUCUCUUCCUCUCCUUCUCUUCCAGCUGCAGCUGCCACCGCCGCAGCCGCAACUCCUCCUUUCCCUUCUCUUCUUCUUCUCCUCUUCUUCUUCCCUCCUCCUCCCCGGUGUCACACACACCCUCUCCUCUGUUUCCUCUGCAGGAAACAGAGGUAUCACAACCUCUUCUUCUCUUCCUCUUCUUCUUCUUCUCCUCUUCGAACGCCCCACACCUCUCCUCU
rnacentral:lncRNA from 1 species